UCUUUAGUUUUUAAUUUAAGAUCGGGCCUGCCCAUUGAUUAAUAAAUUAAAAGGCUGCGGUAUUUUAACUGUACGAAGGUAGCAUAAUCACUUGUCUUUUAAUUGGAGGCUAGAAUGAAUGGUUUGAUGAAAAAUAAACUUUCUUUUUUCAAUUAUAAUUGAAUUUAAUUUUUUAGUUAAAAAGCUAAAAUUUUUUUAUAGGACGAGAAGACCCUGUAGAAGUUUACUUAAUUAAUAAUUUUUUAUUUUAUGAUUUUAAAAUAAUUUUUUAUAUAUUUAAGUUUUGUUGGGGUGACAUUAAAAUUUAUUUAACUUUUAUUAAUUUUUUCAUUAAUUAGUGUUUUUUUGAUCCAAAAAUUUUGAUUAUAAGUUUAACUUACCUUAGGGAUAACAGCGUAAUUUUUUCGGAGAGAUCAUAUU
rnacentral:rRNA from 1 species